AGAAGGGAGUGCCGAGGCACACUGAGCCGCGCCCAGUGUGGGGGAUGUUUGGAGGCUUCAGGGGCACCCACAGACAGUGUAGGGGUGCAGAGAAGCUCCCAGAAUGCCUACAGUCAGAUCUGAUCAGCCAGUAUAAAAACGGGACUCUCGUCGAGACUCCGCCCAUUGUGUGGGUCUCUCAGAGCACGAGCAAGAUGCUGCCGCCGAGAGCCCCCCUCCCCGGGAUGGGGACUCCGCUUGCCUUGCUGCCACGUGUGGAGAUAAACCCACAGAGGAAUUUGGAUGCCAUCAACAAUGUCUAAGAAAGAAGUGUCAAAGAAAUUUGUACUUUUCCAUCUCAGCCCAAAUAAGCGGGCUAGUCAUCUGGGAAGAGAGAGAUUGGAGUUUAAAUUUCCUCUUUGCUUGAAAGAAUGUACUUGAAUCUAAGUCUCCAGCACCUUCAGGAAAUUAUGUGUUAAACAAUGGACUGUGCAACCUGGAAAGGUCACACAAGACCAGGUUUGUGAACCCAGUCCUCUGGUGAUUUUAGUGUUCCCUUUCAACUGUUCAAUAUUUGUUAAAAGUGACCAAUUAAAACAAACAAACAACAACAACAAAAAAAACCCACAACAUAUUUCCAGAAUGAUUAAAUCAAUAUCAUGACAUUUUA